UCCAGUUAAACUGACUGUUGAGGAACCUCGUUAAAAUGUUGGUGUCUUUGAUAUUUUGUUCUUGCAUUUCAUUUGAUAUAUUUCCUGUGGGUUAGCUUGAGUUGGUUCCAAUUGGUUUGGUGCUAUUGUAGCACAACAUGUUUUAGGUGGCUUUGAUAAUCGUUUAAGAGAAAAUGUUGAGCACUUAGAGGAGCUCAGAAGUCUAGUAGAAAGGGAAGGAGUGUCCAAUCAAGUUAACUUCAUCACCUCUUGCUCGAUAGCAGAAAGAAAUGCACUUCUCUCCCAAUGCCUAUGCGUCCUUUAUAACCAAAGGAUGAGCACUUUGGAUUGUACCUCUGGAGGCAAUAGCUGCUCAUAAACCUGUCAUUGCGUGCAACAGUGGGGGCACUGUAGAGAGUUAAGAAUCGUGAAACGGGAUUUCUGUGUGACUGUAACCGAAGAGAGGUCUCUUUGGCUACGACUAAAUUCAUAAUAGACCCGCACAUGGCUCAGGGAAUGGGUAUAGAAGCACGACGGCAUGUCAGUCAUUCUCAACCAAAAUAUUUGGUCAGCACUUGAAUCAAUACAUUGUUGAUGUUACUCGGACCAAAAAAGACUGAAGAGGGAAUUAACAUAGCACGAUUCGGAAGACUGCAUGGCUAAGUUGUUCAAUUGAGUCAAUUCAUAGACCGAAGUAUAAUCUGGUUAGUUUUAGGAUUUUCUUAUGUUUUAUGAUUUUGUUCUUUUGGUUCAUAUUUUAAUAUUUGAUAUUUUGUAUGACUACUGUGAGGUAAUUCAGGCCAUGCAUUUUCUGUGUA